GGUGGCUCAGUGGUAGAGUGCUUGCUUAACAUGCAUGAGGGCCUAGGUUCAAUUCCUCAGCACCA
rnacentral:tRNA from 1 species